AACCGCCGUAUAUCGAACGGUACGUACGGUGGUGUGAGAGGUCGGUAGAUGAAUUAAUCAUCUACCUCCUACUCGAU
rnacentral:misc_RNA from 1 species